rnacentral:antisense_RNA from 1 species
CGAGGCGCCACUGAGGUCCUUAUCAGAAUAGAAACACGAGGCCCCGUACUCGUAGGACGCCCGGUUGCAGGCCAGGACCGAGUUGGACUGUUGGUAGAAACAAGAAUUCCACCCACGCACCCAUUCCCCCUCCCAGCGCUUCAGACACCUCUCUCAUCGAAAAACCGGGCGAAGGGAAGCCGGCAACGAGCGGAGAACUCUGGCUGAAUUAACGGUGGCUCCCAGAAGCUCCUGCCCCUCUGACAGCUGUCGCUUGGGCAGCCCGAGAGAAGAAUCGUCCUCUUUCCUGGUGCCAGAGGACGCAGGAAAUUAGCCAGGUUGCGAGUUGCAAAGCUGCCGCCGCGGCGCCGGGAACCGGGCGCGCCCAAUCUCCAGCGGUAGCCGCCAGGCCUGGCCUGGCCGGGGCUUCCCUUCGCUCGCCAUCUCCGGACAAAGCACAGCCGAGCCCGGCUGGAAGGCAGAGCUCCGAAGGAGGCAGGACGGAGCGGAGCAAAAGAAUGCGGCUCUAUUCUCGCAAGGGAAAUUAUAAAAAAGUUCAUGUUCACGGUUCUCAUCCACAUGACCGACAGUGGCCAAUGGAAGGGCCGAACAACUCAUAAAGUUGUAUUGCAAAGUUGUAAA